rnacentral:rRNA from 1 species
AUACGGAGGGUGCAAGCGUUAUUCGGAAUCACUGGGCGUAAAGGACGCGUAGGCGGGUUAGCAAGUCAGAUGUGAAAUCCUACAGCUUAACUGUAGAACUGCAUUUGAAACUGCUAACCUAGAGUAUGGGAGGGGGAGAUGGAAUUAGUGGUGUAGGGGUAAAAUCCGUAGAUAUCACUAGGAAUACCGAAAGCGAAGGCGAUCUCCUGGAACAUAACUGACGCUAAGGCGUGAAAGCGUGGGGAGCAAACAGGAUUAGAAACCCUUGUAGUCC